rnacentral:rRNA from 1 species
UACGUAGGGCGCGAGCGUUGUCCGGAUUUAUUGGGCGUAAAGAGCUCGUAGGCGGCUCGUUGCGUCGGCUGUGAAAACCCGCAGCUCAACUGUGGGCCUGCAGCUGAUACGGGCGGGCUGGAGUUCGGUAGGAGAGACUGGAAUUCCUGGUGUAGCGGUGAAAUGCGCAGAUAUCAGGAGGAACACCGGUGGCGAAGGCGGGUCUCUGGGCCGAUACUGACGCUGAGGAGCGAAAGCGUGGGGAGCGAACAGG